rnacentral:rRNA from 1 species
AUUGAACGCUGGCGGCAUGCCUUACACAUGCAAGUCGAACGGCAGCACGGGGCAACCUGGUGGCGAGUGGCGAACGGGUGAGUAAUGCAUCGGAACGUGCCAUUGAGUGGGGGAUAACGUAGCGAAAGUUGCGCUAAUACCGCAUAUUCUGUGAGCAGGAAAGCAGGGGGACCGCAAGGCCUUGCGCUCUUUGAGCGGCCGAUGUCAGAUUAGCUAGUUGGUGAGGUAACGGCUUACCAAGGCGACGAUCUGUAGCGGGUCUGAGAGGAUGAUCCGCCACACUGGAACUGAGACACGGUCCAGACUCCUACGGGAGGCAGCAGUGGGGAAUAUUGCGCAAUGGGGGAAACCCUGACGCAGCCACGCCGCGUGGGUGAUGAAGGCCUUCGGUUGUAAAGCCCUGUCGGGAGGGACGAAUCUUGACGGUACCUCCAAAGAAAGACACCGGCUAACUCCGUGCCAGCAGCCGCGGUAAU